GACGUCUCAGAGGCGACAUUCACAUGCACAAGGCUGAACCAUAGGGCUGAACGUGCUGCGUUUGAGGACAGUAUUGCUGAUGUGUACCUUCCCAGACAAAAGCUCCAUUCACUCUUUUGAUGAACUUGAACCACAGCGUGUCUCUGCACGGCUCUGCCAGCUGCACUUCUCCGAUCCACAGACACGGUUCAUUUGUUGACACGAGCUUCUGUGAGGCUCUCAUCUGAACCGCUCUGUCCGGGUCCCAGUGACCCAUUUCCUCGCGCGAGCCCAAAACAAGCACCUCCAUAUCUGAAGUCUCCGGGGUGAGGAUGACACCGAAUCUGAAUAACAUUGUCACAACCAUAGCUAAAGGAUGUAUCCUCGACGACUUGAGAUGGGAUGAAUGACGGGGAAGCAGCGCAGAGUGGCGACAGCGUAGACUUCUGCCAGAAACUCCACCACUUCUCCUCUGGAGACCCAUCUGUAACAGGGGAAUAGGAGGACGUCCCCCUCUGGAGUUGUCACCACAAUUUUGGAGCAGAACCACUCGUCUUCUGGGAGAAUGAAAAAAGGGUCCUUCUCCACCUUGAGCAGCAGGAGCGUCCCCACAGACAAACUGGUUUUCAGAGUGUAGGUCCCUACCUUUAAAAGAAAGGUUGACAUAUUUAACUUUAAAAAAAAAAGUACAUUUGGCACGUGAUGAACCUUUUAUUAGUUGAGAUGUUUUCAGUUGUCGACGGUGCAUGGUGGAACUUAGACAUAUAUGUGCCAUUAAAAGGCAAAUGUCUGUGGAUCUCAAACAGGUUAUGUAUGAAGGGGGGAACUGCAAUUAAACAUGUGAAUACAAACAGAGGAACAGUAUGUGACUGUGAGGGUUAAGUGUGUUCACAUUGAUGCAAAUCUUCAGUAAAGGUGCACCUUGUGAUAGAAAUCAUUAAAUUCCACAGCAAGAAA